GCUUCACUGUAAGCUUUCGAGCAACAGAAACUAGGCUAAGAUUGCAGCCUGCAGAGACUCCAAGCGGAGUCGGAGAAAUUUGGCCUCGUUUUAAUAGGGCUGAGGAAUGAACUCCGGAGGUCAAUAAAGCCCUCCAAAAAUGAUGAAUGAUUGAGCACCUGUGAUGAUGAUAGUGAUUACCAGAGCAAUUAAACAGUUUGAUUAAAUGAGCCAUCAUAACAAUGAUGUCUGCGGGAAAUCGGCCCUCACAUAUAAAGAAAGAUAGUGCGAAGGGGCUGGCAGAGGCGCGGAUAGCGCGACGCCAGGGAGAGGGGCUGCGGGCCGCGAGGUUUCUGCCCAAUGGCCCGAGCAGGGACGGCCAGACUCACGGAGCUUCAGGGAGGAGAGUGUAGCCCAGGUUUUCAGCCACUCUUUUUUGCCGGGCUUCAAGCCUGCUAGAGCCGACGGGUAGGAAAUCUGAAGGUUGGGGGGAGGGUACUUCCUCCACGUCCUCUUUUUUUUCCUAGAAGAACUCCAAGAUUAAAAGUAUCCUUAUUUGUUGCUGAGUUGCUCGUCGACAUUUAAGAGAAGGUGAGUAAAAAAGAAAAGAAGAUGAAA
ensembl:lncRNA novel transcript